rnacentral:ncRNA from 2 species
UAGUGAAUGAGAGCAGUAGGUGCCCAUAUGGGAGAAUAGGGAAUGAAGUGAGAAUCUUCAGCGGACCCGCCACUGUGAAGGGGGUUCUAUUAGAAAUACCACUGGAAGUUAUUCUGGGAAGGUUAAUAGAACGACACCCCUGAGCCAGGAGACCUGCCUUUUGCUUCUAGUUAUA